rnacentral:rRNA from 1 species
UCUUCGGAUGCUGACGAGUGGCGAACGGGUGAGUAAUACAUCGGAACGUGCCCAGUAAUGGGGGAUAGCUCGGCGAAAGCCGGAUUAAUACCGCAUACGCCCUGAGGGGGAAAGUGGGGGAUCGCAAGACCUCACGUUAUUGGAGCGGCCGAUGGCUGAUUAGCUAGUUGGUAGGGUAAAGGCCUACCAAGGCGACGAUCAGUAGCUGGUCUGAGAGGACGAUCAGCCACACUGGGACUGAGACACGGCCCAGACUCCUACGGGAGGCAGCAGUGGGGAAUUUUGGACAAUGGGGGAAACCCUGAUCCAGCAAUGCCGCGUGUGCGAAGAAGGCCUUCGGGUUGUAAAGCACUUUUGUCAGGGAAGAAAUCCUUUGGGCUAAUACCCUAGGGGGAUGACGGUACCUGAAGAAUAAGCACCGGCUAACUACGUGCCAGCAGCCGCGGUAAUACGUAGGGUGCAAGCGUUAAUCGGAAUUACUGGGCGUAAAGCGUGCGCAGGCGGUUGUGUAAGACAGGUGUGAAAUCCCCGGGCUUAACCUGGGAAUUGCAUUUGUGACUGCACGACUAGAGUGUGUCAGAGGGGGGUGGAAUUCCACGUGUAGCAGUGAAAUGCGUAGAUAUGUGGAGGAACACCAAUGGCGAAGGC